UACAGAGGGUGCAAGCGUUAAUCGGAAUUACUGGGCGUAAAGCGUGCGUAGACGGUUAUGUAAGUCGGGUGUGAAAGCCCCGGGCUCAACCUGGGAAUGGCAUUGGAAACUGGCUUGCUAGAGUGUGGCAGAGGGGGGUGGAAUUCCGCGUGUAGCAGUGAAAUGCGUAGAGAUGCGGAGGAACACCGAUGGCGAAGGCAGCCCCCUGGGCUGACACUGACGCUCAGGCACGAAAGCGUGGGGAGCAAACAGG
rnacentral:rRNA from 1 species